GGGGGCAAGCGUUGUUCGGAAUUACUGGGCGUAAAGGGCUCGUAGGCGGCCAACUAAGUCAGACGUGAAAUCCCUCGGCUUAACCGGGGAACUGCGUCUGAUACUGGAUGGCUUGAGUUUGGGAGAGGGAUGCGGAAUUCCAGGUGUAGCGGUGAAAUGCGUAGAUAUCUGGAGGAACACCGGUGGCGAAGGCGGCAUCCUUGACAAACACUGACGCUGAGGAGCGAAAGCUAGGGGAGCAAACGGG
rnacentral:rRNA from 1 species